UGGGGCUGAUUUGUCAGAAGAGUUUCCUGACUAGCUGGGGAGACAAGGUCCCCAUUUUCAGGGGCUUGUCAUUUCUCUGUUCACAAGCAGUGUAUCCUCCUCAGGAGAAGGUUGGAUCCAGGAGGAUGACUCCAGAUGUUUGAAGAGGAAUCGUCCAGGAGCCCUUGCCAGAGGAGAAUAUGCAGAAGUGGAUCUGAGAAGCCUGGACAUCCUUCUAAGGAGACAUGAAUAGUCCUCGGGUUUCUGCAUAACUGGCUGUUCCUCAUCUGUACUUGCUGUAGUUUUCUUCAUAGGCCGUGUGCUUCCUCCUUGGGUACGGGGCUCUGUGGCUGUGGAGGGGCCAGAAUCUGCUCUGCAGAGUGACUAUGUUGGGUGCUAUUAAGAGGGCCAAUGUAGACAGGAGAAAAGAGGCCUGAACCCUGAUUACAGGGCGGUCACCCUUUCUUUAGUAAAAUACUCCUCCUUUAAACCCGGUGUGUGCGGGGGGAAGUACCCAAUGUGAAAAGAUCUGGAAAUAAACAGGUAAGGGAGGGAUCCUGCUGAGUGUCUCCUUUCUGAUCAAUCCUCCAUCUCUCAGCGACACCCUUCCGGACUUACCGUACCUUCCUACCUCACCAAGAAAAUAACUUUGUGCUCCCUAACCUUUACCAGAAAAGAUCUCUCUUCCUUGUGACGCAGUCCUGUUAGUAGGGUUAGGUACACCCAGGUGCUGGCUGUGAAUGCCACCACAUUUGCU